CUUCAUUACUGUGCUUCCCUCCCUAAUUCUGUACAUAUCUCUCAUUCUCCCCUUCUCUCUCUAGCUCUUGUUUUCUUUUUCCCUGGGAUCUGCUCCUCCUGCUGUUUUUUGUUUUGUUUUGUUUUUUUCAUUUUUGCUCUCUCUUGGCAAAUCCCUCACUCAUCCUCUACUUUGCCAUCUGUUAUGGUCUUUCUCAUUCUUCUUUUCUCUGUCUCAGGUUUUCUACUGCUCUCUCUCUCAGUCUCCUGAUCCCUUUGGCCAACACAAUCACAGGAGGGCUUUGGAGUAAGACGCCUGCAUCCCGGAGGAGCGCAUUUUCCAGGGGCUGGUGCAGGGCAGGCAAGAACACCCGGUGUCAUAGGACAGCCCCGGGCACCUCCCCAACGCGGGCUCAGGAUUCAAGAGGUUUUUAAAUCUAAGAUUUCUGCAGACCAGUCACUAUUCUUAUUUAUGUAAGAAGUAUCCUGCAAGAGAAAAGAGGCAAAUAACACUCAAGGGCGCUCCAAAUUAUCUCACAACAGACUUUUCAACAAAAACUGUACAGACCAAGAGGAAGUGGGGCAACAUUUUCAAAGUGCUGAAAGAAAAAAAAAAGCUGCCAUCCAAAAAUAUUAUACAGCAAAGCUACCCUUCAAAUAGGAAGAGGAAACUGUCUUUCCCGGACAAACAAAAGUUGACAGCAUUCAUCACCAUCAGAUCCAGCGGACAAGAAAUGCUACAAGGAGUUAUUCAACAUGAACUAAACACCAAUUGGCACACACACAAAAAUUGAAGGCACAACACCCACUGGUAAAAUGAAGUAUAAAAGGAAG
rnacentral:lncRNA from 1 species